GACGAACGCUGGCGGCGUGCUUAACACAUGCAAGUCGAACGGAAAGGCCCUGCUUUUGUGGGGUGCUCGAGUUGCGAACGGGUGAGUAACACGUGAGUAACCUGCCCUUGACUUUGGGAUAACUUCAGGAAACUGGGGCUAAUACCGGAUAGGAGCUCCUGCUGCAUGGUGGGGGUGGGAUAGUUUCGGCGGUUGGGGAUGGACUCGCGGCUUAUCAGCUUGUUGGUGGGGUAGUGGCUUACCAAGGCUUUGACGGGUAGCCGGCCUGAGAGGGUGACCGGCCACAUUGGGACUGAGAUACGGCCCAGACUCCUCCGGGAGGCAGCAGUGCGGAAUAUUGCACAAUGGGCGGAAGUCUGAUGCAGCAACGCCGCGUGGGGGAUGACGGCCUUCGGGUUGUAAACCGCUUUCGCCUGUGACGAAGCGUGAGUGACGGUAAUGGGUAAAGAAGCACCGGCUAACUACGUG
rnacentral:rRNA from 1 species